rnacentral:rRNA from 1 species
GUUGAACGCUGGCGGCGGGCCUAACACAUGCAAGUCGAACGGGUGGCGGACGGGUGAGUAAUGUCUGGGCAACUGCCCGCUGGAGGGGUAUGACUAGUAGAAACGGUAGCUAAUGCCGCUUACCAUGGGCUCUGCCCAGACUGGAUUAGCUAGUGGGUGGGGUAACGGCUCACCGAGGCGUAGAUCCCUAGCUGGUCUGAGAGGCUGACCAGCCACACUGGAACUGAGACACGGGCCAGACUCCUACGGGAGGCAGCAGUGGGGAAUAUUGCACAAUGGGCGCAAGCCUGAUGCAGCCAUGCCGCGUGAGUGAAGAAGGUCUUCGGGUUGUAAAGCACUUUCAGCGGGGAGGCGUUAUCUGAAGAAGAAGCACCGGCUAACUCCGUGCCAGCAGCCGCGGUAAUAC